rnacentral:rRNA from 1 species
GGAAGACCACUUCGAGUGGUACUCGAGCGGCGAACGGGUGAGUAACACGUGAGUAAUCUGCCCUCUACUUGGGGAUAACCUCCGGAAACGGUGGCUAAUACCCGAUACGACCAACGGCUGCAUGGUGUGUUGGUGGAAAGUUUUUUCGGUAGGGGAUGUGCUCGCGGCCUAUCAGCUUGUUGGUGGGGUAAUGGCCUACCAAGGCUUCGACGGGUAGCCGGCCUGAGAGGGUGACCGGCCACACUGGGACUGAGACACGGCCCAGACUCCUACGGGAGGCAGCAGUGGGGAAUAUUGGACAAUGGGCGGAAGCCUGAUCCAGCAACGCCGCGUGAGGGAUGACGGCCUUCGGGUUGUAAACCUCUUUCACCUAUGAGAAGUUUGUCUUUUUGGGCGAAGUGACAGUAGUAGGAGAAGAAGCACCGGCCAACUACGUGCCAGCAGCCGCGGUAAUACGUAGGGUGCGAGCGUUGUCCGGAAUUAUUGGGCGUAAAGGGCUCCUAGGCGGUUUGUCGCGUCGGGAGUGAAAACCAUGGGCUUAACUCAUGGCUUGCUUCCGAUACGGGCAGACUAGAGGUAUGCAGGGGAGAACGGAAUUCCUGGUGUAGCGAUGAAAUGCGCAGAUAUCAGGAGGAACACCGGUGGCGAACGCGUGUCUCUGGGCAUUACCUGACGCUGAGGAGCGAAAGUGUGCGGAGCGAACAUGAUUAGAUACCCUGGUAGUCCACACCGUAAACGUUGGCCGCUACGUGUGAGAUCCAUUCUACGGGUUCCGUGCCGCAGCUAACGCAUUCAGCGCUCCGCCCUGGGAGUACGGCCGCAAGGCUAAUACUUCAAUGACUUGACGCGG